rnacentral:rRNA from 1 species
AGAAUCAACGCUGGCGGCGUGCCUCAGACAUGCAAGUCGAACGAUUAAACUUUCCUUCGGGAAAGAUAUAAAGUGGCGCACGGGUGAGUAACACGUAAGUAAUCUACCUUCGAGUGGGGAAUAACAGUCGGAAACGACUGCUAGUACCGCAUAAUGCAGCGGCAUCGCAAGAUGACAGUUGUUAAAGGAUUUAUUCGCUUGAAGAGGAGCUUGCGGCAGAUUAGCUAGUUGGUAAGGUAACGGCUUACCAAGGCUACGAUCUGUAACCGGUCUAAGAGGACGGUCGGUCACACUGACACUGAAUAACGGGUCAGACUCCUACGGGAGGCAGCAGUCGGGAAUUUUGGGCAAUGGGCGAAAGCCUGACCCAGCAACGCCGCGUGAAGGAUGAAGUAUUUCGGUAUGUAAACUUCGAAAGAAUAGGAAGAAUAAAUGACGGUACUAUUUAUAAGGUCCGAUAACUACGUGCCAGCAGCCGAC